CCGGGAGGUCCCGGUCCCGGCAGCCCGCGGCCGCGUCCUUGGCCCUCCUCCGGGGGAACCUCGUUCAUUCCAAACUCUGGAAGGCCGGCUGUCCUUCGGUUACUGAUAAGGACGCGAGCUCUUGGAAACCCGGGCACAGAGAGGUUAAGUAACUUGCCCCAGGGCACACAGCUAGCUGAUGUCAGUGCCAGAAUUCCAACCGCGGCUGUCGGACCCCAUGCCAUCCUCAUGUCAACCCACUAAGGACGGGAUCCUUCUGUCCAUCUUAAAGAUGAGGCAACUAAGGCACAUGGAAAUUUAAGUAUAAUACCUUGCCCAAGGUCACCUAGCUGGAAAAUGGACGAGACAGAAAGCGAACCCAGGGCUCCUUUCUGUACGCAGAACCCGCGGUCUUGGCCAUAGGCGAUGCCACUUCCGACAGCCCAGCAGGGUCUGGCCCUGGGUCCCAGAGGCGCAGCCCCUGCGGGGUUUGGAUGGGUUCCUGCGGCCUCCGAUCCGCUGGUGAAUUGGGUGUGUCUGAGCAUCGUCCCCGCUCAGCCCGCAGGCGUAGGAUAGGGAGGCGUCUCCGGGAAUCUACUCCGGGACGGGUCCGCGGUCCUCAGUCGGGAUGGAGCGGGGGCGGAGGCAGCCGGAGGGAACUGGAGUCCCCAUUG
ensembl:lncRNA novel transcript